rnacentral:tRNA from 1 species
GUUUAGCUCAGCUGGUUUAGAGCAUCUGCCUUACAAGCAGAGGGUCGGCGGUUCGAAUCCGUCAACGCCCA